rnacentral:rRNA from 1 species
GUAGGUGGCAAGCGUUGUCCGGGAAUUAUUGGGGCGUAAAGCGCGCGCAGGCGGUUCUUUAAGUCUGAUGUGAAAGCCCACGGGCUCAACCGUGGAGGGUCAUUGGAAACUGGAGAACUUGAGUACAGAAGAGGAAAGCGGAAUUCCACGUGUAGCGGUGAAAUGCGUAGAGAUGUGGAGGAGCACCAGUGGCGAAGGCGGCUUUCUGGUCUGUAACUGACGCUGAGGCGCGAAAGCGUGGGGAGCAAACAGGAUUAGAUACCCUGGUAGUCCGCGCCGUAAACGAUGAGUGCUAAGUGUUAGGGGGUUUCCGCCCCUUAGUGCUGCAGCUAACGCAUUAAGCACUCCGCCUGGGGAGUACGGCCGCAAAGGCUG